rnacentral:rRNA from 1 species
UACGAAGGGGGCAAGCGUUGUUCGGAAUUACUGGGCGUAAAGGGCGCGUAGGCGGCUUAUCAAGUCAGGCGUGAAAUUCCCGGGCUCAACCUGGGGGCUGCGCUUGAUACUGAUGAGCUUGAAUGCGGGAGAGGAUAGUGGAAUUCCUGGUGUAGCGGUGAAAUGCGCAGAUAUCAGGAGGAACACCAAUUGCGAAGGCAGCUCGCUGGGACGUAACUGACGCUGAGACGCGAAAGCGUGGGGAGCAAACAGG